GUCGAGCGGUAACAGAAAGUAGCUUGCUACUUUGCUGACGAGCGGCGGACGGGUGAGUAAUGCUUGGGAACAUGCCUUGAGGUGGGGGACAACAGUUGGAAACGACUGCUAAUACCGCAUAAUGUCUACGGACCAAAGGGGGCUUCGGCUCUCGCCUUUAGAUUGGCCCAAGUGGGAUUAGCUAGUUGGUGAGGUAAUGGCUCACCAAGGCAACGAUCCCUAGCUGGUUUGAGAGGAUGAUCAGCCACACUGGGACUGAGACACGGCCCAGACUCCUACGGGAGGCAGCAGUGGGGAAUAUUGCACAAUGGGCGCAAGCCUGAUGCAGCCAUGCCGCGUGUGUGAAGAAGGCCUUCGGGUUGUAAAGCACUUUCAGUCAGGAGGAAAGGUUAGUAGUUAAUACCUGCUAGCUGUGACGUUACUGACAGAAGAAGCACCGGCUAACUCCGUGCCAGCAGCCGCGGUAAUACGGAGGGUGCGAGCGUUAAUCGGAAUUACUGGGCGUAAAGCGUACGCAGGCGGUUUGUUAAGCGAGAUGUGAAAGCCCCGGGCUCAACCUGGGAACUGCAUUUCGAACUGGCAAACUAGAGUGUGAUAG
rnacentral:rRNA from 1 species